CACAGUGAGUCUGUCUGCUCUACUGAUAGUCCGGCCCCGCCGCGGAUGUGGCGAGCGAGGAAAUGCUGGUAGCCUAUUCUUUAUGAAUAUUUCUAAAAGAGCCGGCGAACGCAACACAGCUCCUUUUGCUAUGGAUGCUUCUUUGCCGAAGUUUAUAUAGGCCUACUUUGCUACACUGUUACAAUGUAUCGACUCAAGAGCGCGGAUCACUACGUAGCCUAGUCGUCAUUUCUCACACUCGCAUCAUUGUUGCCGCGGUGCAGCGAGGACACGAUAGUUACAGGGAGAGACAGACAAACACAGCGUGACUGCUCUGGACUUGAACUUGAACUUCAUUUUGAAAUUGGCGUCCAUGUGUAAUCGAGGUUAGUCUUCUUUUUCCCAUAAGCAAUACUCAUUUUCUGUGAUUCAAUGACAAACUACGAGGAGAAAUGAGGAAAAUACAGAUGUUUUGAAGACAAUAAACUAAGCUGCUGGCUGCUCCACCUCGGACACUGAAGAAGUGGACAUUUCAGAUCAACAGAAAGUAAAAGAAUUGGAGAGUGCAUAUUAUAGAUGUUGUUAUAACAGGAUAACUACAUUAUGGUUCUGGAUCUACUACCCUGGUGGAAAAUAAGGCCUGUCUGGAUUUCAACAUCCUGGAUUUCGCAUCCUUAGUUGGUGUGUGCUGCUGACUGUCUACCCAUGUCCGAUUUGAGGCUGAUUGGAUCUGGGGGUGAUGUAUAGAGACAGAACAGACCCMGGAUUAAAGGUGAAAUUAGGUUUAAUUUAAAUAUUCUUGGUUCUUAAGCUUAUUAAGGUACAGUUUAUAUUGGUUUGGUAUUCGGUUUGCUUUUCAUUGUGUGAUUUUCAUUGUACACUAAGUAAAAUCAAUGGCACUAUGUAGCUGUUGGGUUUAACCUGAAAUGAAAAGCGUCUCGCCUCAUUUUUCAGUAGCCUGCAGUUACACAAAGUUAGUCAAAUGUUUAUGAUGCAGUUGUUUGCUUUGAAUGRACCCUCGCACUCACAGUAUAAGAGAAAAAAUCUCAUCUAGUAGACUGUGGUUACAGUAAUGUUAGUGAUAUGUACAGUACAGUAAAAGCUGCUCAUACUCUGAAGCCGCCAAAGAAAUCAGUGAAAGAGGGAAAGUAAAUCCAAUACCUCAAAGGUCAGAUGAAGAUGAAGAGACAGUGGACUGCGGUUGGCUCCCUGAGAAGUGCAACCCACAGUGGGUUGGCACCCUGAACUACACAAAGUCCCUAUUGUCAGUGGGUGCACUGCAAACAGCACUCAAUAGACCUAUAAGGCCUACGGCUCCAGUCCUGGGGGAAAAGCACCACCUGUUGGCCGUUUGGUAAUAUACUGCAGAUUGACUAGGCAAGUUCUAGAAUCAUGCUUGUGUGAUGAGUAACCUUGCCUGAAACCUGUAGACUUAUGCUCCCUUAGUGAAUGCUCAGCCUUUAUGGGAUAACAUGAAUGCUCAGUGGGAUAACAUAGUCUUUUGGCAUGCUGGAGACCCAGGUUCAAACCCCGGCCAUUCAAUAUUAGUGUCACAUGUUCAAAACAUUUCCACUAAAAUGGCCUGCCCUUCAGCACCCCGAUGAAUGAUGUCUGUGAAGGGAAGUUGAUGAUGUGCCAUUAGAAAUAGAACAAUAUUUUGUCUGUGAGUUUUGUGAGAGUGUCCUUUACCCUCAGUGGAGUCGUGAAGUUCAGCCAUGGUUCAGCUCCUCUUCUCUACAAUGGAGAAUGAAUCCGCUCCAUUCAUAUAAAGCAAAAUGAAAGCCACUGACUGUGCGGGAGGUUUCACAAAGCUAGAGGCAGAGCCAGGGUAUUGAAGUGGGACACCUAAAGUUACACUUCCACAUGUUAUUAUAACCCUGUUAGUAUAAUAUAAUACGCAGCUUCCUGGACACAGACCAAGCCUACUACUGAACUAAAAAGCAUUCUCAAUGGAGAAUCUCUAUUGAAAGAUUUUUUMGGGUUCAGGWCUGUGCUUAAUGUGUCCAGGAAACGGAACCAAUGUAACCAAAUACAAAUACAUAUUAUAACCUAUUAAUAUAAUAGUACAACCCUAUUCGUUAAUAUGGUCUCACCCAUCCAGGUUGGAAUAGGAGGAGUAGCAUUGAACUGACAGUGCAUUGCUAUGGAGGGAUACACUGUGACUGUGCCCAGACAAUGUAGAAACAGUGAUACAGUCUAUUUACUUCAAUUGCCAUGUGGUUGUGUGUGUCCUAACAUUAGAUUGGCUAAAGAGGGCAUCUCUGGACACUGGCUGAAUGUGACAAUGUGAUUUCUCUUCUCAGUCAAAGCCCUGUGGUCAGUUACAUUGAUAACAUAUACACUGAGUGUGUAUAUGAAGAACACCUUCCUAARAUUGAGUUGAGUUGCACC